rnacentral:rRNA from 1 species
GACGAACGCUGGCGGCGUGCCUAAUACAUGCAAGUAGAACGCUGAAGGAGGAGCUUGCUUCUCUGGAUGAGUUGCGAACGGGUGAGUAACGCGUAGGUAACCUGCCUGGUAGCGGGGGAUAACUAUUGGAAACGAUAGCUAAUACCGCAUAAUAGUAGAUGUUGCAUGACAUUUGCUUAAAAGGUGCAAUUGCAUCACUACCAGAUGGACCUGCGUUGUAUUAGCUAGUUGGUGAGGUAACGGCUCACCAAGGCAACGAUACAUAGCCGACCUGAGAGGGUGAUCGGCCACACUGGGACUGAGACACGGCCCAGACUCCUACGGGAGGCAGCAGUAGGGAAUCUUCGGCAAUGGACGGAAGUCUGACCGAGCAACGCCGCGUGAGUGAAGAAGGUUUUCGGAUCGUAAAGCUCUGUUGUAAGAGAAGAACGAGUGUGAGAGUGGAAAGUUCACACUGCGACGGUAUCUUACCAGAAAGGGACGGCUAACUACGUG